UACGGAGGGUGCAAGCGUUAUCCGGAUUCACUGGGUUUAAAGGGUGCGUAGGUGGGCAUGUAAGUCAGUGGUGAAAUCUCCGUGCUUAACAUGGAAACUGCCAUUGAUACUAUGUUUCUUGAAUUUUCUGGAGGUAAGCGGAAUAUGUCAUGUAGCGGUGAAAUGCUUAGAUAUGACAUAGAACACCAAUUGCGAAGGCAGCUUGCUACAGGGAUAUUGACACUGAGGCACGAAAGCGUGGGGAUCAAACAGG
rnacentral:rRNA from 1 species